GGGGAAUAUUGGACAAUGGGCGAAAGCCUGAUCCAGCAAUGCCGCGUGAGUGAUGAAGGCCUUAGGGUUGUAAAGCUCUUUUACCAGGGAUGAUAAUGACAGUACCUGGAGAAUAAGCUCCGGCUAACUCCGUGCCAGCAGCCGCGGUAAUACGGAGGGAGCUAGCGUUGUUCGGAAUUACUGGGCGUAAAGCGCGCGUAGGCGGCUCAGCAAGUCAGGGGUGAAAUCCCGGGGCUCAACCCCGGAACUGCCCUUGAAACUGCUAGGCUAGAAUCCUGGAGAGGCGAGUGGAAUUCCGAGUGUAGAGGUGAAAUUCGUAGAUAUUCGGAAGAACACCAGUGGCGAAGGCGACUCGCUGGACAGGUAUUGACGCUGAGGUGCGAAAGCGUGGGGAGCAAAC
rnacentral:rRNA from 1 species